AGCAUAUCAUAAGCGGAGGAAAAGAAACCAACAGGGAUUGCCUCAGUAACGGCGAGUGAAGCGGCAACAGCUCAAAUUUGAAAUCUGGCCCUAGGCCCGAGUUUGUAAUUUGCAGAGGAUGCUUUUGGUGAGGUGCCUUCCAAGUUCCCUAGAACGGGACGCCAGAGAGGGUGAGAGCCCCGUACAGUUGGACACCAAGCCUUUGUAAAGCUCCUUCGACGAGUCGAGUAGUUUGGGAAUGCUGCUCAAAAUGGGAGGUAUAUUUCUUCUAAAGCUAAAUACCGGCCAGAGACCGAUAGCGCACAAGUAGAGUGAUCGAAAGAUGAAAAGCACUUUGAAAAGAGGGUUAAACAGCACGUGAAAUUGUUAAAAGGGAAGCGCUUGUGACCAGACUUGCGUCCGGUGAAUCACCCAGCUCUCGCGGCUGGGGCACUUCGCCGGCUCAGGCCAGCAUCAGCUCGCUGUCGGGGACAAAAGCUUCAGGAACGUAGCUCUCUUCGGGGAGUGUUAUAGCCUGUUGCACAAUACCCUUCGGCGGGCUGAGGUACGCGCUCCGCAAGGAUGCUGGCAUAAUGGUCAUCAGCGACCCGUCUUGAAACACGGACCAAGGAGUCAACCUUAUGUGCGAGUGUUCGGGUGUCAAACCCCUACGCGUAAUGAAAGUGAACGCAGGUGAGAGCUUCGGCGCAUCAUCGACCGAUCCUGAUGUUCUCGGAUGGGAUUUGAGUAAGAGCAUAUAGGGUUGGACCCGAAAGAAGGUGAACUAUGCGUGUGUAGGGUGAAGCCAGAGGAAACUCUGGUGGAGGCUCGCAGCGGUUCUGACGUGCAAAUCGAUCGUCAAACAUGCGCAUGGGGGCGAAAGACUAAUCGAACCUUCUAGUAGCUGGUUUCCGCG
rnacentral:rRNA from 2 species